rnacentral:rRNA from 1 species
CCUACGGGAGGCAGCAGUGAGGAAUAUUGGACAAUGGGCGCAAGCCUGAUCCAGCCAUGCCGCGUGCAGGAAGAAGCAUCUAUGGUGUGUAAACUGCUUUUGUACAGGAAGAAACACUCCCUCGUGAGGGAGCUUGACGGUACUGUAAGAAUAAGGACCGGCUAACUCCGUGCCAGCAGCCGCGGUAAUACGGAGGGUCCGAGCGUUAUCCGGAAUCAUUGGGUUUAAAGGGUCCGUAGGCGGUUUAAUAAGUCAGUGGUGAAAUCUGGUCGCUCAACGAUCAAACGGCCAUUGAUACUGUUAGACUUGAAUUAUAAGGAAGUAACUAGAAUAUGUAGUGUAGCGGUGAAAUGCUUAGAUAUUACAUGGAAUACCAAUUGCGAAGGCAGGUUACUACUUAUGGAUUGACGCUGAUGGACGAAAGCGUGGGGAGCGAACAGGAUUAGAUACCCUGGUAGUCCACGCCGUAAACGAUGGAUACUAGCUGUUCGGAGCAAUCUGAGUGNGUAGACGAAGUAGAGUAAGUAUACCACCUACGGGAGGUACGUUCGUCGAAGAAGAGAACGUAACGAAGUAGUAAGUUAGUACGGACGUGAGACGUAGACCGACGGACGACGACGAGGGAGGAGGAG